rnacentral:rRNA from 1 species
UACGUAGGGUGCGAGCGUUGUCCGGAAUUAUUGGGCGUAAAGAGCUCGUAGGCGGUCUGUCGCGUCGAUCGUGAAAACUUGGGGCUUAACCCUGAGCUUGCGGUCGAUACGGGCAUGACUGGAGUUCGGCAGGGGAGACUGGAAUUCCUGGUGUAGCGGUGAAAUGCGCAGAUAUCAGGAGGAACACCGGUGGCGAAGGCAGCCCCCUGGGUUAACACUGACGCUCAUGCACGAAAGCGUGGGGAGCAAACAGG